UACGGAGGGUGCGAGCGUUGUCCGGAAUCAUUGGGCGUAAAGAGCGUGUAGGCGGUCCGGUAAGUCGGCUGUGAAAGCCCCCGGCUCAACUGGGGAGGGUCACGCGAUACUGGUCGACUCGAAGGCAGGAGAGGGUAGUGGAAUUCCCGGUGUAGUGGUGAAAUGCGUAGAUAUCGGGAGGAACACCAGUGGCGAAGGCGACUACCUGGCCUGUUCUUGACGCUGAGGCGCGAAAGCUAGGGGAGCAAACGGGG
rnacentral:rRNA from 1 species